ensembl:lncRNA
CAGGAGAAAAAAGUCAGAGAAACCAAUGAUGAGGUAAUGAGGGUUUUCCAUGCAGACCUCCUUAGACAGAGCACAGAGCUGUUGGUUUCCGUCUCUUCUUCGUGAUCCCUCUCAGUCCCAGAGUCCAGAACACUCCUAAUGACUGCAACACCUCUGUCUGGCUCAGGACACACGAGACACGGAAGAAAGUGGAGUUGAAGCAGAAGACUGGUAAAGCAGUAUUACAGUAUCCCUGACUAAAAAGCACUCUUUUCCCAGGAAGGCUCUUGUUGCCUAAUGUGUAAUAGUCAGAAUUGUCUGAUGAGGAAAAAGGAUCAACCAACAGCAGAGGUGCUUCUUUCUGUGUUAUUUUACAAAGGC